GGUGGCUCAGUGGUAGAGUGCUUGCCUACCAUGCAUGAGACCCUGGGUUCAAUUCCUCAGCACCA
rnacentral:tRNA from 1 species